CGCCUGUUUAACAAAAACAUGUCUUUUUGAUUUUUUUUAAAAGUGUGACCUGCCCACUGAAUUUUUUUAAAUGGCCGCAGUAUACUAACUGUGCAAAGGUAGCAUAAUCAUUAGACUUUAAAUUGAACGCUGGUAUGAAUGGUUGGACGAGAUAUUAACUGUUUCAUAAAAAUUUAUAAUAGAAUUUUAUUUUUUAGUCAAAAAGCUAAAAUUUAUUUUAAAGACGAGAAGAGCCUAUAAAUCUUUAUAUAUAUAUUAUUAUAAUUUUUUACAUUUUUUUUAUUAUUAUAAUAGAUGAUAUUUUAUUGGGGUGAUAUUAAAAAUUAAUUAACUUUUUAUUGUUUUAAUCAUUAAUUUAUGAAUAAUUGAUCCGUUAUUAGCGAUUAAAAAAACAAGUUACAUUAGGCAUAACAGCGUAAUUUUUUUGGACAGUUCAUAUGGAUAAAAAAGAUUGCGACCUCGAUGUUGGAUUAAGAUAUAAUUUUAGGUGUAGCCGCUUAAAUUUUAACUCUGUCCCAGUUUUAAAUUCUUACGUGAUCUGAGUUCAGACCGG
rnacentral:rRNA from 1 species